rnacentral:rRNA from 3 species
ACACGACUCUCGGCAAUGGAUAUCUCGGCUCUCGCAUCGAUGAAGAGCGCAGCGAAAUGCGAUAUGUGGUGCGAAUUGCAGAAUCCCGCGAACCAUCGAGUCUUUGAACGCAAGUUGCGCCUGAGGCCAACUGGCUGAGGGCACGUCCGCCUGGGCGUCAAGC